GACAACCACGACGAGGGCGAGAGGUACGCUAUGCACGGCCUCAGGAAGUUCGUCCGCGGGAAGAAGCCCGAGAUCAUGGCCUCCAUCAACUCCUUCUUCGCCGACCCUCCCAAGGACGAUUAAGCUAGAUUCCGUCAUGGAUGGAUGGAUGGAUGGAUUCCCGAUUCCCGAUCGUCCAUAGUAUGUUUUACCAUUCAUUAGCUGCCGGCGGCGCGCCUUGAUUCGUAGCCGUCGUCGGUACAUUUUUUUUUGUUUCUAAAAUUCUAAUUCUCC
rnacentral:lncRNA from 1 species